GCGGCUAUAGCUUAAUGGCAAAGCUCUGGGUUGUGGUCCCAGUGAUGAGGGUUCAAUUCCCUCUAGUCGCCCA
rnacentral:tRNA from 1 species